GCAGUUCUGAGCAAUAAAGGAUCUUGUUCAUAUAUGUGAUAUUUCAUGUAUUAACAAUUUUGCAGUGUCGUCUGCGCGGCUGGGGGCAAUGUGUUUAUGAGAUUAAUUUGUAUUGUUCCUCAUGUUGUUAAAAUAUUCAGCACAUUACUUCAUUAUGUCAUUUUUCUGUGCCAGACUUAUGAUUUUCAGUCAAAGUGUAACCUGUAAUACGAACGUGUACCCCCACAAAAAAAAAUACCAAAAGAAUCUACGUAUCCUCUAUAACCAUGAAAAAAUUAUCGUUUUAUUCAACAAAAUUCCAUUAAUGAGCAAUAAAAUUCUGCAAAUAUAUAUUCUUUAUCACGAUUUGAACUGAAAAAACUAGCGGAAGUCAACUGAUUCGAAUUUAAAUUACCGUAGAUAAAAUUUUUCUCGCACGAUCAGACUUAAUUUCAUACCGCCGGGCUCGACAUUUUGUGUUCUUUCGGAAUCUGAUGUGUGCGCAUACAUUUAAAAAUAGACUAAUUUUCGAUAGCCCUCGCGCAUGUACCAUAUCCUAAUAGAAAGAAACCGAAGCGAGAUAAAUAGAAUACCCGUGACGUCACAGUUUCAGACGCAGUAUUUCAAAUAUGGCUGACUGAGCAGGAGACGGGAAGUUUGAUAGUGUCACAUUUCCUCUGCUAUUUCACAACGCGAUUUAUAAUAACAUCUGCAUCAGCCUGAAGACCGAGGGAGGUUAGAUAUGACCAGUGCAGGUUGAAGUGGAUUUCGAGUCAACAAGUAUAACAGCAAGAGAGGUACUCCAUUUACAGUGAUGAUGACAUAUCCCCUGGACCCCCACAACUCCACAAAUUUAAAAAUGUUUGAUCAAGUUCCGAAGAUUAAAGAACUACUGCAAAAUUUGGGACUGGAUGAAAAACAUUAAUUCACUUAUAUGAGCUCAGAGCAGUGGAUGUUAUACAACAUACUUUAAACUAAAUUGUGAAUUUAAGGGAAAACAAGUACAUGUCAUGUACUCGUAUAUUACAAACUGUACAUGCCUUUUGAAAGACAAUAAUAUUGCAUAGAUGUAAAGGAAAUUUCAAUGUUGAUUAUUCUUUCUUAGAUAUAUUAGUAAAAAAUGUGCACAUGAUAGAAUAUCAAUUUUAUAACUUCAAUCAAUGUGUUUGAAUUUUCCUUGUAAUUCAAAAUUUAGUUGAAACAUACAUCAUAGAUACAUUAAUGUAUAUCAAAUUUUUAGAAAAGUUUCAUAAUGGAACUAAUUCACCCCCCCCCCCUUAUACAUACAGUGAACAUAGACCUUCACCUGGGGAAAACUUCAGUUAGUUAAUGCAAUAUACAUGUACAUGCAUUCUCAGUUAUCCAAUAGUGAGUUUUUGGUUCCAUGUGAAACUACAAUGAGAAAUUUUAAACUUAUGAAAGACACACCUAUCUGUGAGGGUAAGAUGACUCAGAUGAACUUAAAUGUAGUGAUCCAUGGACAGUCCAUGGGUCUCUUUCCAUUGAUAUUAAUUAUUUAUUGAAAUAUGAAAUGGUUAUUUAAACAUAUUUGGUGUAUUAUACUGUAUAGUGAUAUAAAUUUCUAUCAAAAAAUAUGUAUAGGUAAUAGAUUUGGUCCAGUUAUUACAAGAAAUUGUAUGAAAAAUAACUAAAUAUUUAGGCAAUCAUUGUGAGUGCGAAAAGGUCAACUGCAAUAGCACACACUAUAUAUCAUUCUUAAAUGGCUCAUAGAAACUUCUAGUAUUGUGAGUUUGAAUGCUCAAUAUGGUAAUUUGGGAAUGCUUAAUCAUUCAAGGUCAAUAGUUUAUCUCUGCUGACUGUAUCUCUUAAAAUUCAUUUCUAGAAGGGAGGGGGUAGGGUUACAAAAUCUGACAUAGUUUCAGAUUAAACCUCAUUUGGCAUAUUUUUUUCUAUUCAAUAUUUUAGAUACUACUUGACUUAUUGUAAAAAUGAAAUAAAAUCAGAAAUUUUAUGAGCAGAAUUUUGUUGUUGUCAGAAAACGUAUGCCUGAUAGUAUUUGAGAAAUGUCAUAUUUUGGGUAAAUUUGGCCAAUUGCCAAGUCGAAUCAUGCCAAUGUUUUCCUUAGAUGCAUUUUGAAUUUCUAAUCCAUGUUGAUUUUUUAUCUGUUUGUGUUUAAUUUACAUAACUAUAUAUGAAAAACAAUAUUUCUGGUGUCAAUAAAAAAUUUUUAUUGGC